UAAAUUCGGUUUAAUAGUGACGGUUGCACAUUUACACCGCGCUGUGCUUUUCUUGCUCUGCCCAGCUGCAGUUUGAUUGUGAAACUGAAGUUUGCCAUGGAUGUGUGUUCAGUCAGUUCAGCAUUGAUGACUGCUUUGCGACACCAGCCUGGCAUUGAGACUAACGGCAUCGUCAACAGAACGGCUGUAUGUAGCUGGAAUAAUAAACCAAAUCUGGACUCACUGCAACUGGACAUGCGCGUGUCUGUUAAUUUGAACUCUUCGGACUUCUGUCUGGUGCCAAACUUGGACAACUUGCUGAAUUACUGCGAAAAAGGAGCAGAUUUAGCUGUACUUCUGAAUGAGAGUUGCACCAGUGGUCCGGUUCUGCCCACCAGCCUGCCAUCACCAACAGCAACUGAAGUCACAAGUGCUACCACCGCCAGGAUCAUCACGAACACCACCGAGACAUCUCCAGAUAACACAACCCCACUUCAGAACACUUCACCUACGUUGGUAACUACAGUGGUUAAUGUAACAGCUACCAAAAGUACAGCUGCCCUGAACACCUCCACUCCAGAUGUUCCAGCAAAAUCUACAGCUUCAUACACGAAAGUUACAGCAACAACAGUGAACGCAACAGGUUGGCUUCUGAAACCCACUUAUACUGACAUUCAGUGCAUUUCAGUAUAUGCAAUAU
ensembl:lncRNA